UCCCUCCGAAGUUUCCCUCAGGAUAGCUGAAAGCUGAAAAGUUGGACCCUGUAGAGAUCAUGAUUAGAGGAAUCGGGAUAAACCUAUCUCGACCUAUUCUCAAACUUCCAAUGGGUUCGGCGGCGGGACUGAUUCAAUUAGUCCGGUCGAGAAAUGUUGCUUUUAAGUGGGCCAAUUUUGGUAAGCAGAACUGGCGAUGAGGGAUGAACCUAUUGUAUGGAUAAGGUGCCUAAUGCUCGCUGAUCAGAAACCACAAAAGGUGUCGAUUCAUUGAGACAGCAGGACGGUGGUCAUGGAAGUUGAAAUCCGCUAAGGAGUGUGUAAAAACUCACCUGCCGAAUGAAUUAGCCCUGAAAAUGGAUGGCGCUCAAGCGAGUAACCGAUACCAUACCGUCGGCGCAAUUCAGCCGGCGUGUAGGAGGGUGUUAUUACAGCUUCGAAGGUCUCAGCUAGCGAAUAGUCGUAUGGAAUGUAUGAUGACCCAUGUGGAUUAGGGUUCCGAGGGAACAGCAUUUGGUCUCGGGUUAAACGGUCCUAAAGGAGAUUGAGUCAAUUAGAAAGAUUUGAGUUCCUGAAAGGGAGAAGAGUAAAAUUUCUCUUGUUAAUAGUCAGAUGCGUGGUAACACAACACAACUUGAUUAGUCUCAGACAGUUCGAGAGAGCGUUUUCUUUGCUCUAUAACAGUCGAAAUCCUCUGAAUUAUGUUGAAUAGAGAAAAGGAGAAGGGACUGGAAUAGCGCCACUUCCUCGUGGCGCCUAGGAACGAGUCUAAGAUCUCUGAAAAAUCAAGGAGUUUUCACCUGAAUAUUAUCCGUACCGAUAACCGCAGCAGGUCUCCAAGGUUUGUAACCUUUGGUUUAUUAGAGUAAGAUGAAUGAGGGAAGUCGGCAAAUUGGAUCCGUACCUUCGGUAAAAGGAUUGGCUCUGAGGUUUGACCAUGUCAGGGAGCUUCUAGUUUUCUGGAAGUUCCUCAUUUGGUAAUCAAACGUCUCAGAACUAUUGUGGACAUGAGGAAUCUGACUGUUUAAUUAAAACAAAGCAUUGCGAAACGUUUGCGAGCUUUCCACGUAAUGUGAUUUCUGCCCAGUGCUCUGAAUGUCACGGUGAUGAGAUUCGCUCAAGCGCGGGUAAACGGCGGGAGUAACUAUGACUCUCUUAAGGUAGCCAAAUGCCUCGUCAUUUAAUUGGUGACGUGCAUGAAUGGAUUAACGAGAUUCCUACUGUCCCCAUUCAUCAUCUAGCGAAACCACAGCCAAGGGAACGGGCUUGGCAGAAUCAGCGGGGAAAGAAGACCCUGUUGAGCUUGACUCUAGUUUGACAUUGUGAAAAGACAUAGGAGGUGUAGAAUAGGUGGGAGCUUCGGCGCCGGUGAAAUACCACUACUCCUAUUGUUUUUUUACUUAUUCAAUGAAGCGGG
rnacentral:rRNA from 1 species